UGUACUAUGAAUUUUGAAAAACUUAAGUUUUACUAUAAUAUAUGUUUAUAUGUUUUUACAAAGAUAAAUUCCUUUCUUGUUUUAUUUGGAGAGAGGGGAAAUCUUGAGCACAUGGAUCUAAAUUAGAACAUUUCUAGUCUGUACAAGUGCUUCCUAACAGAAAUAGAUUAGAAAUGUAUAGAUUAAGAAAAUAAAAAGUGGCCUAGUAUCAUCAUCAUCAUCAUCACAUAUGACCAUUUGAAAAACAAGGCAAGGUAGUCAUGGUAACACAUGCCUGUAAUCCCAGUAACUCUGGAGAUGCAGGAAGGAGGAUUGCAAGUUCUAGGCCAGCUGCAGCAACUUUGCAAAACCCUGUCUCAAAAUUUUUAAAAGGGUUGGGAAUUUAGUGCAGUGGUAAAGAACACUGAUCAAUACCCAGUAAUUAAAAAAUACAAAAUGAUAGUAAACUUUAGAAUUUAAAUCAUAUAUUAAAUCCAGUAUGUUCUCAGCUAAUGGAAAACAGUAGAAACAGAUUAGCUUAGCUUAUCAGAAUUUUGUUACUGGACUUCAAUCACCAGGGGCAAAAAGUGCUUGCUAUGUGGUAGUAGAGAAAAUAGAAUGUUUUGAUGAAUAUAUAAGAUAAAGAUAAAGGGAGAAAAGGUAUUUUGAAGUAAUGCUUACUUUGCCAAAAGUUAAACAUGUAGAACUUCAAAUAAGGAAUUAUAAAGGAAGUAUCUGAAUGAGUCUAGACAAUGCUUUUAAAUGACUACAAUUGUCAUAACUCAAGCACAGUUAGUUCUGUAUAAUUAUGCUUUGAGUCUUUAAAAAUAGUUAUAGCUUGAAAUUAAUGUAAAUCCUGACUAUAUUUCUAUCUGCAAUGUAUGAAAAAAUCCAUUUAUAGUAGAAAUAACAAUGAAAAGACACACACUCUGUAUUUUAGAAAAUACUUCUCAUAAAUGUUAGAUAUGUUGUUUGAAGUAUGACUUACAUAAAGCUGAAUUCAUUCAAAGUGCACAGUUCUGUGAGUUUUAAGAAAUGUAUACACUCAUGCAACUACCUCUGUGCUCUGUAAAAUAUUAGCAUGCUAUUAUAUCAUAUCCUGUAUUAGAAAUGGAAAAAUAGGAUAUUAGAAUCAACUAUUUUAGUUAAAAAUGUCAGCUAUAACAGUAAAUUCAGUCCAGUGUUGAGAAGCAAAACUGGAACUUGACAGUACUUUCAGAAGAGCUCACUGGAGUAGCAUUGUGUGGAAUUUUUUUUUGCUAUGCCAUCACCUCCUUGUGGGUUAUUAUAAGAUAAAAAUCAUAGCUUUAACUGAAUGAAACAUUCUUAAACUCUACCUUUCCUCAAAUAUAUGUACACUUCCUCAGGCUGCUUGUAUCCUGCUUAUUAUACUCUAAGAUAUAAAAUUCUACCCAUUUGAUUAAUAAAAUUUAUGUUAAAUUCAAAAAAA
rnacentral:lncRNA from 1 species